GUAACGGUUUCAUUAGAAACCACCUUUUUUGUAUUUGAAAUAUUAU
rfam:Picea glauca, whole genome shotgun sequence.